rnacentral:pre_miRNA from 1 species
UAUAUACUCCCUCCGUUCGGAAUUACUUGUCGUAGAAAUGGAUGUAUCUAGACAUUUUUUAGUUCUAGAUACAUCCAUUUCUGCGACAAAUAAUUCGGAACGGAGGGAGUACCUA